CCUAGGGUGGCAGCAGUGGGGAAUAUUGGACAAUGGGCGAAAGCCUGAUCCAGCCAUGCCGCGUGUGUGAAGAAGGCCUUCGGGUUGUAAAGCACUUUCAGUGGGGAAGAAAGCCUUGGGGCUAAUACCCUCGAGGAAGGACAUCACCCACAGAAGAAGCACCGGCUAACUCCGUGCCAGCAGCCGCGGUAAUACGGAGGGUGCGAGCGUUAAUCGGAAUUACUGGGCGUAAAGCGCGCGUAGGCGGUCUGAUAAGCCGGUUGUGAAAGCCCCGGGCUCAACCUGGGAACGGCAUCCGGAACUGUCAGGCUAGAGUGCAGGAGAGGAAGGUAGAAUUCCCGGUGUAGCGGUGAAAUGCGUAGAGAUCGGGAGGAAUACCAGUGGCGAAGGCGGCCUUCUGGACUGACACUGACGCUGAGGUGCGAAAGCGUGGGUAGCAAACAGGAUUAGAUACCCGAGUCGUC
rnacentral:rRNA from 1 species